CCUGUCUAACGUAGAGGCUGGAACAGGGGUGGGGAGGGGGCUGGCCCCAAGAGGGAGGUGAGAAAAAGGCUGAGGCGGAGUUGGGAACAAAGCCCAGAGGGGAUCGGCGAUCGUUGGCCCGGGGCGUGUGUGAACAGGGCGGGGGGAACACGGGCAAUGGCCGGAAGAAAGGGCCGGGGGAGGCGCGGGAAGGCGCUGCCCCACAAACAACGGAGCGCAGGAAGGAAACUCCAGGCGUCCGCAAAGGAAAGGGGGGAGGGGAAGGGGGAGCCUGGCGGCAGGAGGCCCAGGAAGCCUCCAGAAAUCAGUGCAGCACAGAGGACGGCGGCGGCACCAGAGCAGGGGGCGGCGGGGCUGGGCCGAGAAUUUGGAGUCCGUGUUUGGGCUGGGUCGUCCUCUCCUCGGCCGAAGAGCCGUGUAAACACUCCUGCUUGCCUGCUGCUUUCCCAGACUUGGCGACACAGACGGGAGCCAAGCACCCCCAACAGAUGGCAAGGGCUGCUGGAAGUUCCGCCGCGCCGAGGCGGUGCUGCCCGCGGCCGCGCAGCCCCGGCAGCCACAGGCGGCGGCAGGAGCGCGGCUUCUGUUGAGCCUCCCCCCCCGUCCUGCAGCGCGACGCCUCCCGGCUCAAACCGGGGCAGCGGCUCUUCCUGCGUGCCCGGGCCCUUGGAGCCAGGCACAGCGCACAGGCACAGCCUCUAUCGAGCCUUGAGGGACGUGAUUUCUACCCAGUAUAGUUGAGCCACUACAAAACAAACCAACCACAACAGUGCAAGAGUGGUUAGAACAGUUUAAUUGUAUUAAGAGCAUCCCAGAAAGGAAACGACUCACCUAAAAGCAAAGGAGUGUCCUUUCCAGCUUUUUUUUCCAGUUACUUUUGCAGGCCAAUUUACUAUCGAAGCUGGAAAGUCCAAUAGCAAAGGCCUGGAGAGCACAGAGAGGAUAAUUAUAGUCCAGAGUGAACACAUCUUCUGCUACACGACCAAACUGCAUCACAACGUAGUCAGCUGGGGAGAAAAGAAAGACUCAGAGACUAGCAAUUUCACAUGGAGGCAAAAAGAACUAGGAACAAGCAAACCAAACCAGGAGUCAGUACCAAAUAUACAUGGUUGGUGUAUCUAUCCCUUCUUACCACAUUGGCCUUAAAAUCUGUUCUCUAGAGCGACUGUUGCUAGGAUUACAUUCUUUCACUGAGCCAAGGCUCAAACCACUAUUUGGUUGGGUGGAAGGUGCCAUGUUAAUCCUUUUCUUUCCCUUCAGGAGGCUUGCAUUUGUCCUGUGUUUUGGUGCAGCUCUGGACAGCAGCCUCUGUACCCACACCAGAAAAAGGGUCAUAUCAUUUGUUUGAUAGAUCAGAAGUCCCCAGUAUCCCCUGGGCUGAAUUUCUGCACUCAGUCUCUCUUCUCCAGGAAGGGUGUCCUAACCUCCCAAACUUCACAAAAUACACUGGGAUUUCCCUGUUGUAAUGACAGCCCCACAAGCUCUCCAAGAGACUCUUACGGUCGUUGUCGUGGACAAUCUGGAAGUUCUUCACUGAGGCCUGAGUGACUCUCCCAUGGAAGUUUAAAACAUAGGAUUGAGUAUCAUCAUUCCAGACUGGAGCCUUGUUAUGUAGCUCAAUGAGGUUCUCCAAGUUUUUGUUUUGCCACUUUGAUAGCAGACUCUCAUGCUCCUGUUCAGAAGAAAUAAAUAUGUUUAUCAGA